CAUAGAUGUGCUGAGAAGAUCUCACAUUGAUAUUUGGUUUUCUUUAUUGUAGCUGACAAGGAGGCAACAGCAUGGCGAUGGCAGGAACUCGGCAGACGGCAUUCCUUGGCAGCCCGUGGGGACUCUCACACCCCGGACGUUCGAGAGCUAACUCAAAGGCUACGAUCCGCAGAGGGGGGAUGGAAGCGGGGUGCCGGGCUGGGACUCGUGACCAGGAAGUUUUGAGUCUGCUUUGGACGUAGCGAGGUUCAAGAAGUGGCCCUUUAGGCCACCUCAAGGGAAAGCCUCACUUUGGCUCCCAAUGCUGAGGUGCACAGGGCAGAGCGGUCCGGGGAUGUGUCGGGUCACUUGUCUGUCGUGCCUUUUGUGCACCUCGUGUCGUAUGUGUCUUGCCUCAGCCCUUCCAGGAGGUUACAGGAAACCCUGGCGUCACUCUGAACAUCUCUGAUCUCUUGGUUCCUCGGCCUGGCGCUGACACUGUCAGAGCUGUGCCUCGGGACCUCUCAGAGGCCUUGGAAUCCCAUCUCUGUUUUUAAGCGUCCGAUCGGGUGUCUUUUGAGGUCUUGUUCUGAGCUGUGUCCACAGCCGUGCGCCGCAAGGAUCCAUUGUAGCGGGCUAGGACUUGUCCGAAUGCAAGGACAGACAGAGAAUUGUGGCCGUAGGAUUCUCGGGCAUCCGUAUUUGCGCUUCUCGGGAUAAGUCAUCGUGUCAGCAUCUUCUUUCUUCAGGGUUGUCUCGGCCUUAUCAGCUCGCCAUCAUUCUCACCUGGGCCAUCUUGUUCCGCAUUCUCUGGGUCCUUGCGGCCAUUCUUCUGGCCCGGAGUUUUGUCUCCCUGUUGUGUCCCCUUGUCUGUUGUCUUGUGUGUCACGGGUGUCUGGGUGUAUUUGGGUCGGAGCUGCUCUGCCCUGCUGCAGAGGCUGGCCUAUGGUCAGCUGCCAUGGGAGAGGCUUCAUAUUAAACCAACUGCUGAAUGAUUUAAUUAGUCUGGUACCUACGGCUUCUGAUCAUUUGCUUUGUACAAAUGCAUUUCAACAGUUUGCUGUGCUGUAAGCAUCUCAUAGCUGCUACUCUUGAGAACCUUGUUUUAGAAAUUAGUUAAAAGGCAUCUUUCCAGUUUAAAGCCUAGGCUCUGUCCAAGCCUUGACUUUACCUGGAUAGAGAAUUUACCAAUAAACCCAGAAGUUUUCUGCAUCGAAACAAUAUUCAGGUCAAUCUGACUUGGCAAUUAGUGAAUUAAUAUAGCAGCUGGAUUUUACAGUGGGCUUGGAAAAUUGUUAUCCGGACAUGAUUUUCCAAUCUUCCAUUGAUUUAUCAGCUGUGGCAAACUCUGGGAUGAGAGUAUAUAUUUAGAAUAUUCAGUAAUUCAUAUUACAGAUAAUUUAGAUAAGUUUAAUAUAGCAUAGUAUCAAUUAUGCAUCUUUUUAAAAAGUUUUUGAUUUCUGUAAAAAUGUUAUUUCCUAUAUGUAUACAUAUGCAUGUGUUUUACUUUGAUGGUUUUUCAUUGUCAGUACAAGACAGUGGGAGGAAACAGAGGUUGCAGUUCAGAAGCAUGGAAACACGAUGUUCAAAACAGAAGUAACUUCCUAGCGAAGAACAUGGAAACUCAUCAGCUGCAGAGACAAGCAGACAGCCCAAAGAGCAGAAGAGCGAGCACGCAGAUGUGAACCGUAUCGAGACCACAGUUGACAGCUGAACAACUUUGAUCCAACAUGCGAGAGCAAUGGACUUUGGGUUUCAUGUGAAAGAGUGGGAAAAUUGAUAUUGUAAAACCUCACUUGUUAAAUAAAGCAUGGUGUGAACUGUUCAAGA